GUGAUUCUUGAGAAUCACCAAAUGUGUGUUUGUAUAAGUCUGUGUGUGCGCGCAAUCUCAUCAUCACCAACGUUGUCAUCACCGUCAAAACUGUGGGACUGCUAAGGCAGGUUCAGAAACAACUCAAACGCCGCGCCGAGGAGCGCGGUCUUCCUUCUGCAGGCGAGAGAAGUAUCAGUGGUUUUCAAGCAAGGGAAGUAGCAGAUACUGUGACAUUUUUUCUGGCUGUCUUCAGGGAGCAAAGGUUCUGUGCUCUGCAGAGGACAGAAAUGGAAAACAUGCCUGGAGUCAGAUUUUUGGCCUAUCUAUUAGGUAACAGGGACUCUGUGAAGCUCUCCAAGGAUGUUUCAGCGAAUGUUUUCUGAAGAAACUACCCAGCUCCUGCACAGAGCCUGUGCAGAACGGCAGAGACGUCGAUUAGGAGAAACCUCAAAUUCUGGAUGGCGGCAAAUUAGAGAGUUGGCAGCAUGGGAAGGCAAUGGAAGACAAUUAGGACAGGAAAUUAAACAUACAUAAGACCUCUUUAUAUUUACUUUUCAUACAUUCAUUUGGGCAAGCAUAAAGUGCAGAAAUGUUAAAUGGAUUUAGAACUAGAUUUAGGCAAGAUUCUGAAGAGUAAAUUAUACUCAUCGGUAUAAUGCGAGAUGUCGCUGAGAUGAUUUUGAAAGUAUUUGCUUUUUCCAAGAGUUUGUGGUUCUCUGAUCCCCAAUCCCAGGCCUUCUAAGGCACCGGGACCUCAAGUGAGUCUGGACUCCCCAGAACCCAACCUACAGUGCCCUGCAAGACCCACCACAGAGGGGCUGGCUUCCACCAGUGUUUUAUCUUCUCUCCAGUUGUCAGCGUGUACCUUUCCUGUGGCCCAUUUCCUUCAGGCAUGAUCUCGCCUGGCUACUCUGAUCAAGG
rnacentral:lncRNA from 1 species